rnacentral:lncRNA from 1 species
AAAUAACCUAUAACUAGUCACAUGAAAUAACGACUCCAAAAUAGAUAGGUAUAAAUGCACCGGGGCUUGCCUGGGAUCAACAAGGUUAGUUCUUCGGAAAACUUCUUUAUUAAAAGAGGUACUCCACACUUCGCGAACGUUGUCCAUCUCCAGCUGAAUUCCAUGAAUUCCCACUCCAGGAGUUGCGACGUCUACGAUUCAGUAUAUGCAAGAGUUAGAGAUGCAAAUUUUUGAAUACAAGACUAUACAACUUUCCUUCAUGAUAAAGUUGCAAGCCAACAAGGACUAUACAAUUUAUCAUGAUAAAGUUGCAAGCCAACACACAAAAACCCGAAAAGAUUAGCCCACCAUUUUUAUUUCCUUUACUAAACCUACCUUAGACCUUUUUAUUUAUUUUUAAAAGCAUAAUAAUAAUUUUCUAAUCUCAAAACCUAAUUCCUAUGAAUUAAUAAUGAUUUGUGGAUAAUAAAGCAUUUUUCAAGUUUUUAUACAUUUAAUAAAGUUUAAGCAUUUAUUUAAAUACCUUAGAUAAAAAGGUAUUAAAUAAAUACCUAAAUUUUUAUUAUUUUUCCUAGGGUUUAAGAAUUUUAAUGCAUAAAGGAAAAUAAAACAAUCCUAAUAAAAUUGGUUUCACUAAUUUUGGAUACUUCUAGAAUUUCCUGUGAAUUUAAAUGGUGAAAACCCUAUUUAAUCUAUUUAUCUAAUAAAGAAAACCUAAGGUUUAAUUAAAACCCCGGGCCCAAACUUCUCUCACCUAACCUUCUUCUACCCACUAUCACUUCCACCUAGGGCCCAUCCGGUCUCCUAUUCUUCUUCUUCUUUUCUUCACUAGCAUGUGGGGCCCACGGCCGAAACCUUCUCUUGGGCCGGUUCCCCCUUCUCUCCUCUUUCUCAAUCCCGGCCGGCCCAUCUUUUCUUUCUUUUAUUUUCUCCUGGGCCGCACGGCUUAUUCUUCCCAACGCUCAACACGGCCCACCGGCUCCCCCUUUCCUUUUACUUGCGCGGGUCGGCUGGGCCGAUUCCUCCCCCUUGGCCCACGAACGGACGGCGGUCUCUCCUUUCUUUUUCUUCUUUACUCCCGCCUGAGCCUCUUGGCCCACUUCCUUUCCAAGCCAACCAACGGCCCAUUUGCUUUACCCUUUUCCUUUUGCACUGCGCGGCCAACUGGGCCGUUGCCUCCCCUGGCCCAAGACGUGGCUGGCCCUCUUCUUCUUCUCCUUCCCUUCCUCCUGUGCGCAUGGCGCCUUCUUCCUUGCGCCAAAACAGGGGUGCGCACGGGACCGGCGGGGGCUCGCCGGCUGGCGGCUCGCCGGCGGCCGAGAGGGACGGGGUGGCGGCACCCCAGGUCAGGCGCGCCCGUGCCCACCGCUAGCUCGCCGGGAGGCGGCCCGAGCCGGCCCCUCCACGGGCGGCUGCGGCUUGGCCAACCGCCGGCCAUGGCGGCGCACGGAGGCGGCACAAGGACAACCGGCGGCGCACUCUACGGCAUCCACAUGACCCAAGCACUCUCUAGACUCGACCAAAAGAGUGAAAGAAGGGGCGGCGCGGAGGACUCACCGGUGGACAGUAGUAGCGGCGGUAAACCGGAGAUGCGGC